rnacentral:rRNA from 1 species
GUGUGACUGCGUACCUUUUGUAUAAUGGGUCAGCGACUUAUAUUCUGUAGCAAGGUUAACCGAAUAGGGGAGCCGAAGGGAAACCGAGUCUUAACUGGGCGUUAAGUUGCAGGGUAUAGACCCGAAACCCGGUGAUCUAGCCAUGGGCAGGUUGAAGGUUGGGUAACACUAACUGGAGGACCGAACCGACUAAUGUUGAAAAAUUAGCGGAUGACUUGUGGCUGGGGGUGAAAGGCCAAUCAAACCGGGAGAUAGCUGGUUCUCCCCGAAAGCUAUUUAGGUAGCGCCUCGUGAAUUCAUCUCCGGGGGUAGAGCACUGUUUCGGCAAGGGGGUCAUCCCGACUUACCAACCCGAUGCAAACUGCGAAUACCGGAGAAUGUUAUCACGGGAGACACACGGCGGGUGCUAACGUCCGUCGUGAAGAGGGAAACAACCCAGACCGCCAGCUAAGGUCCCAAAGUCAUGGUUAAGUGGGAAACGAUGUGGGAAGGCCCAGACAGCCAGGAUGUUGGCUUAGAAGCAGCCAUCAUUUAAAGAAAGCGUAAUAGCUCACUGGUCGAGUCGGCCUGCGCGGAAGAUGUAACGGGGCUAAACCAUGCACCGAAGCUGCGGCAGCGACGCUNAUGCUGGAGGUAUCAGAAGUGCGAAUGCUGACAUAAGUAACGAUAAAGCGGGUGAAAAGCCCGCUCGCCGGAAGACCAAGGGUUCCUGUCCAACGUUAAUCGGGGCAGGGUGAGUCGACCCCUAAGGCGAGGCCGAAAGGCGUAGUCGAUGGGAAACAGGUUAAUAUUCCUGUACUUGGUGUUACUGCGAAGGGGGGACGGAGAAGGCUAUGUUGGCCGGGCGACGGUUGUCCCGGUUUAAGCGUGUAGGCUGGUUUUCCAGGCAAAUCCGGAAAAUCAAGGCUGAGGCGUGAUGACGAGGCACUACGGUGCUGAAGCAACAAAUGCCCUGCUUCCAGGAAAAGCCUCUAAGCAUCAGGUAACAUCAAAUCGUACCCCAAACCGACACAGGUGGUCAGGUAGAGAAUACCAAGGCGCUUGAGAGAACUCGGGUGAAGGAACUAGGCAAAAUGGUGCCGUAACUUCGGGAGAAGGCACGCUGAUAUGUAGGUGAAGUNAUGGAGCUGAAAUCAGUCGAAGAUACCAGCUGGCUGCAACUGUUUAUUAAAAACACAGCACUGUGCAAACACGAAAGUGGACGUAUACGGUGUGACGCCUGCCCGGUGCCGGAAGGUUAAUUGAUGGGGUCAGCGCAAGCGAAGCUCUUGAUCGAAGCCCCGGUAAACGGCGGCCGUAACUAUAACGGUCCUAAGGUAGCGAAAUUCCUUGUCGGGUAAGUUCCGACCUGCACGAAUGGCGUAAUGAUGGCCAGGCUGUCUCCACCCGAGACUCAGUGAAAUUGAACUCGCUGUGAAGAUGCAGUGUACCCGCGGCAAGACGGAAAGACCCCGUGAACCUUUACUAUAGCUUGACACUGAACAUUGAGCCUUGAUGUGUAGGAUAGGUGGGAGGCUUUGAAGUGUGGACGCCAGUCUGCAUGGAGCCGACCUUGAAAUACCACCCUUUAAUGUUUGAUGUUCUAACGUNGACCCGUAAUCCGGGUUGCGGACAGUGUCUGGUGGGUAGUUUGACUGGGGCGGUCUCCUCCUAAAGAGUAACGGAGGAGCACGAAGGUUGGCUAAUCCUGGUCGGACAUCAGGAGGUUAGUGCAAUGGCAUAAGCCAGCUUGACUGCGAGCGUGACGGCGCGAGCAGGUGCGAAAGCAGGUCAUAGUGAUCCGGUGGUUCUGAAUGGAAGGGCCAUCGCUCAACGGAUAAAAGGUACUCCGGGGAUAACAGGCUGAUACCGCCCAAGAGUUCAUAUCGACGGCGGUGUUUGGCACCUCGAUGUCGGCUCAUCACAUCCUGGGGCUGAAGUAGGUCCCAAGGGUAUGGCUGUUCGCCAUUUAAAGUGGUACGCGAGCUGGGUUUAGAACGUCGUGAGACAGUUCGGUCCCUAUCUGCCGUGGGCGCUGGAGAACUGAGGGGGGCUGCUCCUAGUACGAGAGGACCGGAGUGGACGCAUCACUGGUGUUCGGGUUGUCAUGCCAAUGGCACUGCCCGGUAGCUAAAUGCGGAAGAGAUAAGUGCUGAAAGCAUCUAAGCACGAAACUUGCCCCGAGAUGAGUUCUCCCUGACUCCUUGAGAGUCCUGAAGGAACGUUGAAGACGACGACGUUGAUAGGCCGGGUGUGUAAGCGCAGCGAUGCGUUGAGCUAACCGGUACUAAUGAACCGUGAGGCUUAACCUU